rnacentral:rRNA from 1 species
GUCCAGAAUAGAAUUUUAGUUCAACCUUAAAUUUACCUAAAAGAAUUAUUAAUCCUAAUGUAAAUUUAAUAGUUAUUCUAAAGAGGUACAGCUCUUUAGAUUAAAGGAAACAGCCUUAUUUAGAGAGUAAAUUAUAACUUCCCCAUAGUUGGCUUAAAAGCAGCCAUCAAUUAAAAAAGCGUUCAAGCUUAACCUAACAAACAUAUAUAACCUAAUUCCACACUUAACAAUAAGCUCCUAAUCAUAUAACUGGACUACUCUAUAAACUUAUAGACGCAAUAAUGUUAGUAUUAGUAACAAGAAAUAAUUUCUCCCUGCAUAAGUUUAUAUCAGACCGAAUACCUCACUGAUAGUUAACAGACAAAUAAUUAAACUUAAAACCUUAAAUCUUUAUUAUCCAAACUGUUAACCCAACACUGGCAUGCAUACAAGGGAAAGAUUAAAAAAAGUAAAAGGAACUCGGCAAACACUAACCCCGCCUGUUUACCAAAAACAUCACCUCUAGCAUUUCCAGUAUUAGAGGCACUGCCUGCCCAGUGACACAUGUUAAACGGCCGCGGUAUCCUGACCGUGCAAAGGUAGCAUAAUCAUUUGUUCCUUAAAUAGGGACUUGUAUGAAUGGCCCCACGAGGGUUAAACUGUCUCUUACUUUUAAUCAGUGAACUUGACCUUCCCGUGAAGAGGCGGGGAUAAUUUAAUAAGACGAGAAGACCCUAUGGAGCUUAAAUCUACUUAGCCUAAGCAUUUUUAUUCUUUUUCCGACAGGAUUUAACAAACAUGCCCCACUAGGCUUAAGAUUUUGGUUGGGGUGACCUCGGAGAAUAAAAUAACCUCCGAAUGAUAUUAACUUAGACUUGACCAGUCAAAGCUUCCACUCAUUAAUUGACCCAAACUUAUUGAUCAACGGAACAAGUUACCCUAGGGAUAACAGCGCAAUCCUACCCAAGAGUCCCUAUCGACAGUAGGGUUUACGACCUCGAUGUUGGAUCAGGACAUCCAAGCGGUGUAACCGCUGCUAAUGGUUCGUUUGUUCAACGAUUAAAG